AGCAGCCGCGGUAAUUCCAGCUCCAAUAGCGUAUAUUAAAGUUGUUGCAGUUAAAAAGCUCGUAGUUGAAUUUCGGGACCAAUUUGUUGGUCGUGCCUCGGUACGUACUGGUAUUAUUGGUUUCUCCCUUCUGAAGAACCUCGAUGUCAUUAAUUUGGUGUCGUGGGGAAUCAGGACUGUUACUUUGAAAAAAUUAGAGUGUUUAAAGCAGGCAUACGCUUGAAUACAUUAGCAUGGAAUAAUGAAAUAGGACGUUUGACUCUAUUUUGUUGGUUUCUAGGAUCGACGUAAUGAUUAAUAGGGAUAGUUGGGGGCAUUAGUAUUCAAUUGUCAGAGGUGAAAUUCUUGGAUUUAUUGAAGACUAACUACUGCGAAAGCAUUUGCCAAGGAUGUUUUCAUUAAUCAAGAACGAAAGUUAGAGGAUCGAAGACGAUCAGAUACCGUCGUAGUCUUAACCAUAAACUAUGCCGACUAGGGAUCGGAUGAUGUUAAUUUUUAAUGACUCAUUCGGCGCCUUAAC
rnacentral:rRNA from 1 species